rnacentral:misc_RNA from 1 species
AAAGUCGUAACAAGGUCUCCGUUGGUGAACCAGCGGAGGGAUCAUUACUGAGUUUACUCAACUCCCAACCUUUGUGAACAUACCAUUGUUGCUUCGGCGGGACCGCCUGCGAAGGCACCCGCCGAGGGACCCAAACUCUUGUUUUCCAGUGGAUUAUCUGAGUGAUUUACCAAAUAAAUCAAAACUUUCAGCAACGGAUCUCUUGGUUCUG